CUGGAAUCCACUGUGCCUGGCCAGGGGUGGAACCUGCAUCCUGGUGCUGCAGAGAUGCCACUGGUCCUGUUGCACCACAGCAGGAAUUCCUGUAUGUUUGGUUUUUUUGCUUUUGUCUUUCAUAAGCCUGGAAAAGGGGAGUUCUGGCACAGUGAAGCAUUUGCCUUUGGUAUUUAGUGCUUCCUGGGAAGUCAGGAAAAAGGUCACUGGCCCACAGAACAUCACAGAAAGCAAAGUCAAUAUCUGGGACCAUUCUGAGUAGUGCCAAGGAGUGGAUGACCAAUCAUUUUUCCUUUUUUUUGGGGGGGGGGCGCUGCACCUGUGGCAUAUCGAGGUUCCUAGGCUAGCGGUCAAACCAGAGCUGCAGCUGCCGGCCUACACGACAGCCACAGCAACGUGGGAUCUGAGCAGUGUCUGUGACCCACACUGCAUCUCAUGGCAUCACUGGAUCCUUAACACACUGAGCGAGGCCAGCAGCUGUAGCUCUGAUUCGAGUCCUGGCCUGGGAACUUCCAUGUGCUGAAAGUGCAGCCCUUAAAAAUAAUAAAAAACCCCAAAACCAAAAAACAAAACAAAACUCUGAUAACUAAAAAAGGCCAUGGUGGGGUCUCUACUAGUUGUUAUCCUAAAGCAAGAGUGACCAGAGCAACAGGGAAUAUAACAUCAUCUUAUUCUAAGUGCUUCUCAAGGCAGCCUGUUUAACAUGUAUGUAUUCAUGGUAUCUAUAUAAACACACACACACACACACACACACACACACACACACACACACACACACACACANACAGAGUUUCCUCUAAUUGCAACUUAAGAAGAAUAGGUCCGAAGUGGGAAACUACAGUAGAAAUCAGAAAAGGAUAGAAAUUAUUCUUGAAUCAGAAUGCUCACACAGGAAUCAACGGAGUACCUAGAAAUGCUAGCCUGUCCCCAUUUAAUCUACUUUCUCAUCACAGGAAGGUAGGGAGCAUCUUUUAAUACCAGGGCAGGUGCCAGGUGAUUAAUUAGAAAGGGCCUUGGAGAAAUUGUAGAAUAAUGUAGAAUAAUAAAAUUGUAGAAUAAUAAAAAUACUUUUUAUCAGCAAAGAAGUAAAAGUUGAGAGUGGUUCAAGCUUUGAACGCUAGAGCCGGGCAGCUGGUGGAGAGAAACUGAAGAUGUUACUCAGAGGCAGGCAUCCCAGGUAAGAAGGCACCUGGGGAGUUUAUUAUUGUUACUUCAUUGAUAUCUAAGGGGAUGGGAAGGAGACUGCAGUUGAAUCACAAAGGAAAACACAGUAACACAAAGCAGUGUCUUCAAAUUUAAAACAGGUAUAGCAUAAAUAGCAAUGGAACAGGAAAAAACCAUAAGAAAAACAGAACGAAAGUUACUGUUAAACAAUUGAGGCCAGACUCCAUAGAGAGUUGUCUAUUUAAGGGCCUCAAAUAAUCUGAAGUUUCAGAGAUCUAGAGCUUUCUGGGUCCAUGGCCAAAGCAUUUUGGUGGUGGCAGAUAAACGAAUGGCCCUGACCACUGUGGAUUUGGAAGCUGCACCCAGGUCAAGCCUCUGUGCUCUUAUAUCUUCGAUGUCCCUGAAAGUACCAGAAAAGGAGAGGUCCCGAGAGGCCCUGCACUCCAAGGAUGACCAGCAACACAACGCAACUUCUACUACAAUGAAUGAACCUGGUCACGGGUGGCAGUCAGCAGUAUGUUUCAGAGCAUGUCAGAAACCUUGGCCGGUCAGUAUUAAAAAGGAACUUUCUGGAGAACUGCACAUAGGUAUAAAAAUGUGAUGGUGCCUCUGUUUUUUGCUAUAUAUUUUUUAAAAAAUAUGUUCUGGAGUUCCCAUUGUGGCUCCCCCAGUGUCAACAAACCUGACUAGUAUCCAAGAGGCUGAGGGUUUGAUCCCUGGCCUCACUCAGUGGGCUAAGGAUCUGGUGUUAAUGUAAGUUGUGGUGUAGGUCACAGACAUGGCUUGGAUCCUUCAUUGUGGCAGCUGUGGUGUAGACUGGCAGCUACAGCUCCGAUUUGACCCCUAGCCUGGGAACUUCCAUAUGCUGUGGUGCGGCCCUAUAAAGGCUAAAAAAAAAAAAAGUCCAGAAGAACAAUAAACAUCUUUAGGUGAGAAUUUGAGUACUAGGCAUAAAAGAGACAUCCAAUCCAAUACAGGCUUUUUUUUUUGAACUAAGAAAAUGAAUCUCUUCUUUGAAAAAACUAAUUUAGGUCUUUGAAGUCUAUGGGAAACUCACUUUAGCACAAAGGACUACAUAAAGGUAGGUGGGGCUUUAUUGACCUCCAAGUGCUGAGCGAAAUUAAUAAAGUAUCACACUGGCAGACAGAAAAAAAAAAUCCAUAUAAGGGAUUUGAAAAAUUGGAGACAGGGAAACGUAAUUUAGGUCUGAGUUACAGAGCUUUCCUAACAAAAAGUCCACCUGGGUCUCAGGUCUGAACACUGGCUCCUGCAGAAUCUUAGAGAACUUGGAGAUGGUAGCCACCAAUGCUUCUGCUAAAAUGUUCACUGUAGGAUUUGUCCAUGACAUUGUUUUGGCUCACAUGGCAGACAAGCUAGUGCUUAAUGAUAGGCAACUAGGAUGGGCCACAAGGCUGGGAAGAACCACAGUAGAAACAACUGCUAUUGAAAAAAAUCAGUAAGUGGAUGUAUAAUCACUGUCAUUUUACUCUCCUUUUGGGGGCUGGUCAGGAAAUACAAUCCUAAAAUCACUUUUUGGCUUAAUCAAAUUAUAUCCUUUAUUGCCCAGUGGCUUAAGCAAUAAAUGUUACUGAAAGGACUAAUUUAAGAUCUGAAUUUAUUUUAAUUAGUCUUCGUAAUACCGCAGCAGGUGUGGGUCUAUGUAUA
rnacentral:lncRNA from 1 species